UUUCUUUGCACGCAGUUGGAAACUUUGAUUAGCUUUGUGUCAGUCUUGUAAUAAGAAUUGCAAGUAAUCGUAUGCUAACUGAUCAUCAACAUGGAUGGUUGGCAGAGAUUCCUUUUGUUUUCAAUACUAUGGCUAAUCUUUGCUCCAAUAUACGCUUCUUAUUCUGGCAGCUCCAAAGUAGCUGCAGCAGCAAAUAAAGAACCCGCUGGAAGAAGAAAGCUUGCCACCGGAAACCCAGGCUCCAUAAGCAUCGAUUGCGGGGUGGAUGAAGAUUAUUUUGAUGAAAAUAUAGGAUUGCUUUACAAGUCAGAUAGAGAUUUCAUAAGCAGCGGCGAAAAUCAUGAUGCAGAAUCAGGAUCCACUUCAUUAGAGGCCUUUGUAGAACGGCAGUGUAAGAAUUUAAGAAGCUUUCCAACAGAAAAAAAAAAUUGCUACACUCUGCGACCUGAACAGGGAAAAAACCACAAUUACUUCAUUAGAGCUCUCUUUUGUUAUCAAAAUUAUGAUCGCAAGAAUCAACCUCCAGAGUUUGAUAUGUAUAUAGGGGUUAACAAAUGGAUGACGGUGAAAGGGCUGUCUCCUAAUGAUUGGGACUCAUAUACGAUCUUUCAUUUUUCUUCAACAGAUAUUAUUCAUGUGUGUCUUGUAAACACAAACUUUGGAGUACCUUUCAUUUCAGCAUUGGAAUUACAUCAUGUGAAUGAUUCAAUUUAUAGAAGUAAGUUUGGAUCAUUAAGAGUUGCUAGAAGAUUUCAACUUAGCUAUACCAACGGCAUGAUUUUCAGGUACAAGGAUGAUGUCUUCCAUCGCGUCUGGAGAACUUAUGGGUUUGCUAAUUGGACUUUGGUCAAUGCCACAUCAGACAUACAACUUCAGGAAAUUGAUAAUUCCCAUAAACUACCCAUUGAAGUUUUAAAAACUGCAGCCCAGCCCCGAAAAGGCAUUCCCUCAUUGAGAUACAACACUAGCUUUACCUGUUCCCAAUUAUGUAAGUUUUAUGUCUACUUUCACUUCGCUGAAAUUGUAGAGUUUCCACAAGAUCAACGAAGAGAAUUCACAAUUACUCUGAAUGAUCACAACUAUGGACCCUUUAGCCUGGAAUACUUCAAGCCACGGACUAUACCUCUUAAAUUGACAACCAAAGGCGAUAUUAACUUUACUAUCAAUUCAACGAGCAACUCUCACCUUCCACCCAUUCUCAAUGCCUUCGAGAUUCUUGAGGUAGUUGAGCUGCCUCUUUCUCCAACAGACCAAGCAGAUGUUGAUGCAAUCAUGGCCGUCAUGCGAUCAUACAACAUAAAUGAAGAUGAAUGGCAAGGAGACCCAUGUGUGCCAAGAGAACUUUCAUGGAAUGGUUUGAACUGUAGUAGUUAUGACAAAAAUCCUCCAAGGAUCAUCUCAUUGGACCUCAGUUCAAGGAAAUUGACUGGGGAAAUAGCUCCAUCACUCUCUGCCCUCAAGGCAAUUCAUUCCUUGGAUUUAUCAUACAAUAAAUUGACUGGAAUUCUGCCCAAUUUUUUUUCAGAACUGUUGAACUUAACUUUGCUGGAUUUAUCUUACAAUGAAUUGACAGGGCCGGUGCCAGAAUUUUUAGCACAACUACCGAAUUUAAAUACUCUAAAUUUAACUGGGAACAAGCUCACUGGAUCCAUUCCACAGUCCCUUAUAGAAAAGUUUAAUAAUGGAACAUUGCAGUUGAGGUUUGAACGUCUUCUCUUGUCCAUUAUUUUAUUUUCAUCUUUUUCCAGCUAUUAAAUGAACCAACGAAAAAAAAUGAUGAUAUUGAGAUACAUAGGUUAUUUAAUAUCUGUUAUAUGACGAAUUGAUGAUGUCAUACUCAAUGCUAGCUUCGACAAAAAUCCAAAUUUAUGCCAGUCGGAUUCAUGUGAGGAAAAGAAACAUUUUCUUCUUCCAGUUGUUGCAUCAAUUAUAUCAAUAUUGCUACUUCUGCUCCUAUGCAUGUUAGCUAUCUCUUGGAGACAUAGAAGACAGCAAGCAAUAGCAGAAACACAAAAAUCAAAGAAUCAGACCUUUAGUUACUCAGAGAUUAUUAGUAUUACUGAUAACUUUAAGACCGUUAUUGGAGGAGGGGGCUUUGGAAAAGUUUACUUCGGAACCCUAAAAGAUGGCACCCAAGUUGCAAUUAAGCUGUUAUCUCAAUCAUCAAAUCAAGGCUACAAGGAAUUUCAAGCAGAGGUGCAGCACUUGAUGGUUGUUCAUCAUAGGAAUUUGGUUUCACUAAUUGGGUACUCCAAUGAUAGUCAUAACAUGGCAUUGGUAUACGAGUACAUGGUUAAUGGAAACUUGCAAGAGCAUUUAUCAAGUAUAUCUAUCACAACCUGUAAAAGAUUUUUUUUAAUCACUUGAUUUGUCAAUUUUUCUAUAUUUCUUCUCUAAAUGGAAGUCCUUUUUUUUUCCAAAUUUCUUCAAGACAACUCUUGACAAUGAUAGCCUGAUGCAUUUUGGUUGCAGAGAAAAGUGGAAGGAUUCUGACCUGGAAAGAGAGAUUUCAAAUUGCAGUAGAUGCAGCUUAUGGUUCUCAAGCAAUUCCAUGUCUAUUUUUCUUUACUUUUUGCUUCCCCAUUCAUCAUUCUUAUCCAUGGCUAACUGGUUUUGCAGGACUAGAGUAUCUACAUAAUGGUUGCAAACCACCGAUUAUCCACAGGGAUUUGAAGACUUCCAACAUUUUAUUGAACGAAAAAUGGCAAGCAAAGAUCGCUGAUUUUGGAUUGUCUAGAGCUUUCACCAAUGAAAAUGGUUCACAUGUAUCAACUUGCCCUGCUGGCACAUUUGGUUACGUCGAUCCUGAGGCUCAAGCAUCAGGAAACUUUAACAAAAAAAGUGAUGUUUAUAGCUUUGGGAUUAUUCUACUUGAGCUUAUAACUGGUCAGCCAGCAAUAAUAAGAAACACCCAUGUGGGCUUCAUUUGCAUACAUCAAUGGAUUAGACCUCUAAUCGACAGGGGUGAUAUUCUAACCAUUGUUGAUCCCAGACUGGAUGGAGAAUUCGAUGCCACUUCAGCCUGGAAAGCUGUGGAGACUGCCUUUUCCUGUGUAUCAAACGCUUCAAUACAAAGGCCAGACAUGAGUCAUGUACUAGGUGAAUUACAGGAAUGCAUGGCUAUAGCAAUGGCUGUCGAAGAAUCCCAAACAAUGGAAGCCAGGGUUAUAAGAUCAAGCAAAUCACUUCUAAUAAGCCAUUUGAAUAUUGAUACUGAUAUGGCUCCUAGUCCAAGGUAAAAACUGGAGUAUAGAUCUCAUAUGUACUGGCUUGAAAUUUUUAAACUUUUUUCUCUUUUUACAAAAACGGUUAUAUUAAAGUAUUAAGCUGCACCAAUAAUUUGCUUAUGAAGUUUCUUGGAAAUGUAUAAUUAUCAUUACAAAAUUUUAGGAUAGUAACAGGUCAGAUAUUUGUGGGUAUUCAAGCUAAUAGGAUGAGUAUAGGUAAUAUAUAAUCGAGAUUAGGAUGGGUUCAGAUUUGAAGUAUAAUAUUUGUAAUAUGUUUAAAUCGAGUUUAGAUUUUACAUACUGAGUAUUCAUUAAUGGAAU
rnacentral:misc_RNA from 1 species